CUUUUAUGGCUCGGAAAUCUUAACAAGCCUGGAAGGGACCAUGCAAACUACACAGCGGGGCGAGGCCGAGGCCGGUUAAAUGCCCUCUGGAGUGCGGAGCGCCGGGCCCUGGGGAUAGCCAUCAGCAGUAAGUGAGAGAGGCGGCAAAAGCCACCAGCAAGCAAGCAGGUACUGACUACUACUACUACUACUGCACAGACGGGGACAUAGGACAGUGAUGAGGGGGGACAGCAAGGCCAUCUAACCGAGCCCCACUGGUCUCCAAAGCAGCUGAUCUGAAAGGAGGCCUGAGGCGAGUGUCUAAGCGUGACAGACAGCUGAGGUUUGUUGUGCUUUGAUUACGAACAAGCCAUUCGCUCAAACAAGGAGCCAGGCUGUGGAAGGUGUCCUGAGUCUCCCAGCCACAGGGACCUGGCUCCAUUCUGCAGGAGAAACUCUCAAAACAGGAAAAGAAAUCACCACAGAGCUAGAGACCGUCUUCCCCGUUUGCAUCAGUUAGCAUUGAGGAGAGAUCUCUCAGCCACGAAGGUCUCUACAACGUUCACAUUGAAAACAACGCAGUUGAGCAGCCCAUGGACCACACCGUAGACCUGCCUGCAGGGAUCCUGAACAAGACCCAGAAAGGAAAAAGAGGCUUCGCAAAGCUGAGCGCCCAGGACACAUGGAACAGCAUGUUUCCUUGCAACAGUUCAUCUCUCUGAGAGAGGGCUCUGCACUGUAGGGCGAUGAGGCCAAGGCCUGGUGUAGACCCUGCUUUUUCUCACCCAGGUGCCAGGCCAGCCAAGGCAAAGAGCCAAUCCCUCUAUAUCCCAGCCACAAGACGGCCAGGCCCCUCCGAUCAUGGCUUAAAUCAUUCUCGUUCACAGUCUGGGCAGAGAAAACUGGCCAGUAGGAAGCAAAGCUAUCGGCCUCACUAGCCUGGCCUGGCUUUGGAUGGCUCUCAUGGGCUACACAAACCUAGGCUUAACGUAUCCUGCUUACUGACUGAGCAGGUCCUCUCCCCAGGGGCCACUCAGCACGAGUUAGGAUCCAAUUGGCAUUAAUUGGACCAAGCUGGCAGUGCCUGGGGCAGCUUUAGUUCUGUCAUCACGCAUUUGACUCAGAGCAACGGCCAUCAGUGCCUAUAGAGCACACCCUUAGUGUCAUUGUGGAAGGCUCAAGUGAGUGUACAUGGUGCUGUGUGAGACGGCCUGACAGCCUUGCCAUAGCUAACACCCAGAGACCUAGAGCUGAAAGUGACUUUGCUAUAGUCUUAGACCCAAGCAAAGAGUGGAGACGCCAGGAACAUCAUCUCAGGAGAGUCUACUGGUCCCUUCAUCUGCUGCUGGCCCCAGGAAGUCUCCUCUGGAAAAGAAAUCUCCUCCCCCCAAAGCCUGCUAACCAAGUCCCAAGCACAGAAAGGGGGGCUCAACCCAAUGGUAAAAACCUGAGCUCAAACGGGAUAGCUGUCCAUAGAACUCAAAGUUCAAGUGCAAUCAUGACCAGACACUUACAAUGGGGAGCUGGUCUACAUCCCACGCUGGGUGGAGGGUGUAGACCCCCACACUUGCAACCCCAGCACCAACCUAGAAUCUUGCCUGCAAAGAUGGCGCCUUCACCCCAAAAUAGAAGCCUAAGGGGACUGUGAAUUGAGACUUCAGAACCUAAGCUGGAAUAAAUCUUUGCUCCUAAUUUAGGCUACUUUUGUUGGGCAUUUUGCAUAGUAACAGAAGGCUGAUGUAGGAUUUGAGAGGGGGUUGGGGGGAGGGACAUUGUCCCAGGUCCUCUCUUGUUCCUGGAAGCUGAAAAACAUCCCAAGGCACUCCUGGAGAGGAAGAGGUCCUGACUUAAGGCUGGAGAGAUAGCUCAGGGGCUGAGAGAUAGCUCAGGGGCUGAGUCCUUGGUGCUCUUGAAGACGCCUGGAAUUUGGCUCCCAGCUUCCACAUCAGACAUCUCAAAACUGCCCAUAAGUCCCGCUCCAAAAAAAAUCUGAUGCCCAACUCUAGCACCUGCACAUGUUUGCAUAUAAACACACACACAGAAAUAAAAAUUCAUCUUUUUUUAAUGUUUUUUUUUUGAAACAGGGUUUCUCUAUAUUGCUCUGGCUGUCCUAGAACUCAGUUUGUAGACCAGGCUGGCCUCGAACUCAGAAAUCCGCCUGCCUCUGCCUCCUGAGUGCUGGGAUUAAAGGCGUGUGCCACCACGCCCAGCAAAAACUUCAUCUUUUUAAGGAGACGGCAGCUAGACCUGAUAACUGUUUCCUCAGGUGAGGCCCUCAGUCAGGUGGACUGAUGCUGAUCCAUAGUGGUUUAAGGCGAACUUAGAACAAGGCCAGGGAAUUUGGACUUCAUGGACAAAUAGCUUCCCCUCUCUGUUUAGAGUCCUGGGCUGAGAGGACAGGGUGAGUAAGACAGUCUCUAUGGUUCUGAUGACUGGAGUCCUUAUCUGCUGGCCAUCCACCUGUCACGCCACCUACAGAUCCCCCUCCAGAGGAGGGUGCCACACCCACUUCUUCAUUCUCCACAGCAGACACCACACCCAGCGCAAGGCGGCACAGCGCACAAAAUGAGUAAGCCAGACCUCCUCAGCUCUGACUGGAGCAAAGUGCUCCUCCACUGUCACUGGAGCGCUACUUGACACUCUAGAAUGGCUACCCCUAGAGAACAAGAGUCGCCUCCCAGCAGAUGCUGGGGAGAGGGGCAGCUGGCAAUGUUCUCCAUUUUCUAUCUUUACUCCGACUUCUGGAGUACUUGGGAUGGCAUCUGGGGGCCACAGGCCUAAAACAAACAACAAACAAACAAAAACCCCCAUCCAGGUAAAUGAGGAACAGCCUCCCCUCCCUUCCUCCAUCCCAGAAUGAGCCCCCCCCCACCUUGCUCUUUCUGCCUGACUCCCCAUAUACACCCAUCAAGUUACCUGCAGGGACAGACAGAGUGUGAGGCAGCUGAGACAAGAAAGUGGAUGUUGAGUGACUUUUUAUGGGAAGUUCCUUGACCAGGAGCACUGGACGGAAGGAUGCCUUUGGCCUGACUCAGUCCCUCUGUAGUCAGCAGCAUCUCUCUCCCAAUUUGCCCUGAGAUUGGUCCUCUCUUCAGUGCAAGGUAACUGAGAUCUUCCUGGGCCUUUACCACAUCCCUCCACACCUACACAGGCACCAAGGAUGACACGGGGACAGAGAGCCAUGUCCAGCAUGUUCACUGCUCUCUCUGGAAACAUGAAGUUGACCCCUUCCUGAGCCCAAAGCACAGGUCAAACAUCCAGAGUUUGCACUAAGUCUUUAUGCAGACACAACUUGGCCUUGAUUGGCUAAUCAAAGGGAUAGUUGGGCCAGGCAGAGGGGCUCGAACCACAAACCCUGUCAUCCCAGCACCAGAGGCGAAGGAAGGCACGAGAUUCAAGGCCAGCCUAGGAAAGGAUGUGGAACUCAAUUCCUGCUCCUAGUGGUGGAAGGACCGGUGACUUCCUCCCACAGAGCGUGAACAGAGGACGUUAGUGUCUUAGUCAGGGUUUCUAUUCCUGCACAAACAUCAUGACCAAGAAGCAAGUUGGGGAGGAAGGGGUUUAUUCGGCUUACACUUCCAUACUGCUGUUCAUCACCAAGGAAGUCAGGACUGGAACUCAAGCAGGUCAGGAAGCAGGAGCUGAUGCAGAGGCCAUGGAGGGAUGUUCUUUACUGGCUUGCCUCCCCUGGCUUGCUCAGCCUGCUCUCUUAUAGAACCAAAACUACCAGCCCAGAGAUUGUCCCACCCACAGGGGGCCUUUCCCCCUUGAUCACUAAUUGAGAAAAUGCCUUACAGUUGGAUCUCAUGGAGGCAUUUCCUCAACUGAAGCUCCUUUCUCUGUGAUAACUCCAGCUGUGUCAAGUUGACACAAAACUAGCCAGUACAAUUGACCCCUUGUCAACUUGACACACAAAAACAUCACUAGUAAGCCUCAACCCUUACAAUCUUAUUCAUCCCCAAGAUCUAAAUAACUUUAAAAGUCCCACAGUCUUUACAUAUUCUUAAAAUUUCAAUCUCUUAAAAUUCAAAGUCUUUUUACAAUUAAAAGUCUCUUUAACUGUGGGCUCCACUAAAACAGUUUCUUCCUUCAAGAGGGAAAAUAUCAGGGCACAGUCACAAUCAAAAGCAAAAGUCAAUCUCCAACCAUCCAAUGUCUGGGAUCCAACUCACGAUCUUCUGGGCUCCUCCAAGGGCUUGGGUCACUUCUCCAGCCAGGCCCUUUGUAGCACACGCGUCAUCCUCUAGGCUCCAGAUGCCUGUACUCCACUGCUGCUGCUGCUCUUGGUGGUCAUCUCAUGGUACUGGCAUCUCCAAAACACUGCAUGACCCCUUCAGUCCUGGGCCUUCAAUUGCUACUGAGGCUGCACCUUCACCAAUGGCCUUCCAUGGCCUCUCACAGUUCCGAGCCUCAGCUGCUUUGAGUGACCCCUUCAUGCCUUCAAAACCAGUACCACCUGGGUGACCCUUACAUAUUACCAAGUCCCGCUGCAGCAGGAGUACAACCUUGGCCAUCUCUGGAACACAGCCUCUUUGUGCUUUCAGAAAACACUUCCCAGAAGAUGUCACCUCAAUGAUGCUGGUCUCUUCUUAAUCACCGCUAAUUUCUUAGCUCCAGCUAACCAGCAUCAGUAGUCCCAGUAAUGCAAAGUUUUUGCUUUGGUAGUUCUGGUAUCUUGUUAAUCACAGCUGAUUCUUCAGCCCCAGCUAACCAGAACUACAGAAUCUUCACAAUCAAAACAGCAAUGGCCCUGAAAAGAGUCUUUAAUUUUCCCUCUGAAAUUUCACAAACCAGACCUCCAUCUUCUGUAGUGUUCUCAACAUUAUCUUCCAAGCUCCUACACAACAUCUGACAGAGCUUUUAACAACGGAUGGAUCUUCAAGCCCAAAGUUCCAAAGUCCUUCCACAGUCCUCCCCAAAACAUGGUCAGGUUGUCACAGGAAUACCCCACUCCUGGUACCAAUUUGUCUUAGUCAGGGUUUCUAUUCCUGCACAAACAUCAUGACCAAGAAGCAAGUUGGGAAGGAAGGGGUUUAUUCGGCUUACACUUCCAUACUGCUGUUCAUCACCAAGGAAGUCAGGACUGGAACUCAAGCAGGUCAGGAAGCAGGAGCUGAUGCAGAGGCCAUGGAGGGAUGUUCUUUACUGGCUUGCCUCCCCUGGCUUGCUCAGCCUGCUCUCUUAUAGAACCAAAACUACCAGCCCAGAGAUUGUCCCACCCACAGGGGGCCUUUCCCCCUUGAUCACUAAUUGAGAAAAUGCCUUACAGUUGGAUCUCAUGAAGGCAUUUCCUCAACUGAAGCUCCUUUCUCUGUGAUAACUCCAGCUGUGUCAAGUUGACACAAAACUAGCCAGUACAGUUAGCUUUUCCUUUCCAAUGGGGAAACUGACAAACCCUGCUUGAACCAAGAACUCAAGAACAAUGUUAGCCACGGAGCAACGAAUGACUUGAGAGCACGUGUCGUAGGUGUCAAGUCAGGUAGCACAAGAGGAAGGUAGGGAAUAAAAUCUGGUUACCCUCAAAGGCAUGGUUUGAACAGCCUCAUCAGAAGACAUCAGAUUAAGCCCCACAGAUCGACUAUUGACAUGAUACAAUGGGAGCCCCAGUGCCUAAAGCUAAAAACUUGUGAGGUUCGAGAUUGGCAGAGACAAGGGGGAAUUACUCCCAAAGAAAAACUGCAUCCCAUAUAAUGCCCUUUGAUAAGUGUGAUGCUUAGUUCUGGUUGACAACUCCAUCUCUAGGAUGGUUUGUGAAGACAUCGCAAGGAAGGGUUACAAGGGAGGAGACGGCCCUCCCUCAGAGUAGCAGCACCUUCGGGUGUUAGCCCAGAUAAAAGGAAGUCCUUGAACAAAGCCUGCCUGCCUCUACUUCCUAUAGCUGCAUCUGCUGCCUUAGUUCGCUAGCAUCAGGAUCCAGCUUCUUUGACCUUCCAAAGGGGACCCAAGACCAACAGCUCUCCUGGAAUAGCCCAGGCCUUCAGUACCAGAUUGGGACCACUGAGGUGCCACAUACUCCGGUCGAGUCAGCUUGACAGGCUGUGAAGCCUAAAAGCCACUCACAAGGCAGAGAGUUUCAAGGAAGCUCACCUCCUGGAGUUUAUCCAUAUACUCAUACUCUAUUCCCGCGUUAGUCUGGUGUAUGGAUCUACAAGCUCUCUUUUAAUAUUUUAUUAUAAAUGCUUUUUAAGGUUAAAUUCUGUUAUAGUUAGUCUCCCCAGUGUUCCAAGAUCCCAGAAGCCACCGAGCUUAGAAUCCUGUGAGAAGGCAGUAAGGAAGUUAACCUAUUCAGUAACUAAUUAAGCAUUACAAUAGACAGAGCCAGUGGCUCAACUGGUCUGCAGAAAGAGCCAGGAAAUCUCACUGAGAUAGAAAUCUUCAGUACAGGCUACAUUGCCUAUUAAAAGCAAGUUGGUAUAUUCUCCUGACAAAUGGAGAUUCUCCAGAUACUUAAAAGUUACACUCAUAUAAGAAUUUAGCAAGGCCUAGGAAAUUAGGGGGGUUGUGAUAUUACAUUAUUCAUGAGGCCUGCCAAGAGCAGAACCCCCUGGUGCUGGCCUUCACAAGGUUCAAAGGCAUAACACUAGGGUGUGAAAUCCUUGCCUGUCACUAAACUGACCCUAGGUAGGACUGCUUUAUCUUUACUGUAAACAUUUACCUGGUUCCUGUAAAUCCUUUUGAAGUCAUUCCUUUGUUUUGUACCUGGUAACUUCAAUGUACCUUGCCUGCUGUGACUCCCAACCCCUUGUAUUCUCUGUACUAUGAAAAGUUCGAUGCUCGACCUGACAAAUACAUUCAGAUUCUACACAACCUCUCCUGUGUGCAUCUGUCUGUCAUCUCAUCCAACGCUUGGCCCACCUGCGACUAGAGACCCGUUCCACGAAGACAUAGGGACCCAGAGGGUCUGCGGCACUGAGGUAUUCAGAUUCAUGGGCUGAGAAGCUUCAGGGAUCUCAGCCUCUUCAACAUGCCCGUGACCGCUGUUGGACAUCCAGCCUAAUCGUGCUAGGCAAACCAAUGAGCAUCCUUUAUAAUAUAUACUCAUUCUAGCAGUCCCUUCCUCUAGAGAAUUCUGAUGGCUACAGUAAAGUCCCAGAGUCCCUUCAUAACCAAUCUCAACCUCUCUGUCUCUCUCCACUCUCUCUCUCCUCUCACCACCUCUAUUUCUCUCCCCUUCCCAUAAACAACAACAAAAAAAUUUAUUUUAAAUUACUAAGGGAGUGGGACCAGAGAGACAGCUCAGAGGCUAAGAGCACUUGUUGGUCGUGUAGAGGACUGGAAUUUGUUUCCCAGCACCUGCAUUAGACAGCUCACAACUGCCCGUAACUCUGACUCUGAGGGAUCUAUUCCCUAUUCCGGCCUCUGCCGGUAUCUUCAGCCACUUCUCAAGCCAGCCUGGCUGCAGAAAGCACCUGUGUUGUGGGCUAUGAUGACCGAGUCUCCCGGUUACUUUGUAUGAACCCAAGGUCCACUUUUGCUGAAAUCACUGACUCUUCUCGGGGCCCACAUAUAUCUGAUGAAUCAGUAGAAUGGGAUAAAGUGCUUUGCCUUUCUAUCUUCAUAUCCUGUCUGUCCCAUCUGCUGUCUCAAGACUUGGCCAGAUUCUCCGCAGCUUGCAUAUGGCUGUGGAGACCAUUUUUAAAUGUUUUGCGCAAGAUCAUAUUUCAGUAUUUACUUGGUUUACUGCCCACUGGAAUUGGUUAGGUGUUUCUUCUAGCAAGCCCUUUGGCUUUCUUAGCAACUCUGAUAUCUGUAGUCCUCUAGUCUCAUUAACACACAAACCAAACAAUGAGGAGAGAUUAUGAGAGACAGUGAGGGUUAAGUCAACCAUACGUUAGCCCGUAAACCUCAAGGGAAAGUGUUUGUGCACAAGAAGGAAAACAUCUUUGCAAGCCUUGCCACUGUGCCACUGAGUGUUGGCACAGCCUAGACGUAUCAAUAAAAGCCUGCUCCUCUAUUCCAUUCAACCAGCACCAGUGAUUGGCGCCUCCCUGCUCCACACCUGGGUUCCUCUUUGUUUUGUUUUGCUUUUUUUGUAGUGUUGGAGGGCAAACAUGAAUGCCAGGCUAGCACGGCUAGCACCCCACUAUUGAGACACACUCUCACAUUCUUGCUAGACAGGGCCUUGCCCUGUGGCUCAAGGUGUCCGAAGAGGGCAUCAGAUCUCACUACAGAUGGUUGUGAGCCACCACAUGAUUGCUGGGAUUUGAACUCAGGACCUUCAGAAGAGCAGUCAGUGUUCUUAACCGCUGAGCCAUCUCUCCAGCCUGCAUGGAUCCCUCUUGAUCACAGCUGUGUUCCUCCAACUUGGGCUGAAAGUCACAGAGACGGAGCCUUGCUUGUCCCAGGGACAGAGCUUUGCUCUCGUUGUCCUUGUUUCUACAGCUUUGAUGUCAUCAAACCCAGCCGUCCAGAGUCAGGUAUAACAUGGUAAAAACGACACUUGACCUUUUAGGGUCUUUCUCCCCAAGUCCACAGCCACAAUCUAAUCAUGAGAGGAACAGCAGACACACUCCAGGAAGUCUCUAAAUAAAUGCCUGACCAGUUUGUGCUAACCACAAACAUAAUGUGCUCUCCUAGAUGAGACCAAGAAAAGGCACUAGGGUACAAUGAAGAAAAUCUAAAUAACUACCAACGUUAAUAACAGGGUGUCAGAACUGUCAUUGUAACAAAUGUCCCACAUUAAUGGGAGACGCCAAUAACAGAGUAACUAGGGACAGAGGACAGGUCAUUGAGUAGUACAGCACUCACUAGAAUGCAUGAAGACCCGAUUCAAUUACCAGCAACCGUGAAGGAAAGAAUUGGGAAAACUUGACGAAUGGCCCUUGUGAUAUCUGGGAAGAGGGAACCUCAGCUCUGAAGCUGCCUCCAUCAGACUGGCAAGUGAGCCUGUGGGGCAUUCUCUUGACUGUUCAUUGAUGUUAGAGGGCCUCACCCACUGAAAGGGGUUGGAUCCCACAGAUUGGCCGAAGCUGUGUUAAAAAGGUAGCUGAAUGCGAGCCUGCAGGAAAAGCCCGUAACAUCAUCCCUCUGUGGUUUCUGCUUCAAGUUCCUGCCUUGGCUUCCCUCAACAGUGGUCUGUAAGAUGGAAUAAACCCUUUCCUCCCCACGUCGCUUUUGGUCAUGAUGUUUCAUACAGCAUCAGAAAAGGAAGUGAGAACAGAAUUAUAGAAACUCCCUAUACCUUUUUCCAGUAAUUAUAUCAAUCUAAAAGUGUCCUGAGAUAGAAAAAAAAUUUUUUAAAAUUUGUAUGUCAAAAAGACAUUUAUUAUCAAGCGGCAAACUGUAAAAAUGUGGAUGAGGUGGGGAGAGCCAAACAGGCAUGUCGGGAGCCUGCCCUUCUGUCAGUGUCCUCAGGGACUUGGGCUCUUCUGGGCGCUCCCAUGACUGCAGGGAGAAAGGGCCACUGCUUCACUUUAUAUAGGUGUUCGUGGUCCUUCUGGACAUCCUUGGGGCUGACCUUGGAGAUGCUGUGACUCCAGGCCUCCUGGAGGUUGAGACUAGAUAGACUGGAACCAGCCACACACUAGUGCCCUGUGUAGCCCUAGACAUCAGCAUCUGCCUGUGCAGAGAUCUGUACACCCAUCAUGAUGAUCUGAGACCGGUCCUGGGCCACAGAGGCCGUUCCACCUCAGAGCACCAGCGGAGGCUUUCAGCCUAUGGACAAGGCACAAGGGGCUCUGUAGAUCCGAAACCAAGAUUAAAAAAAAAUCAAAAACGAAAACUUUUGUUUAAGGAAACUUCUCCCAUUUUUCUUUGCUUUGCUUUGUUGGUUGGUUAGUUGUUUUUUAAACUGAGUCUUGCUAUGUAACCCAGGAUAUCCUCAAACUCAAGAUAUUUCUGCCCCAGCCUUCAAAGCAAUAGGAUUAUAAGCAUAUAUCACUACUCCAGACCUAAAAGUUUGUUCUUUUUUAUUGUUUUCUUCUUUGUGUGUUUAUUUGUUGACAUUGGGUCUCAUGUAGACCAGGCUGGCCUUGAAUUCACUCUUUAGCCAAGAAUAACCUUGAGUUCCUGAUACUCCUCUCUCUGCCACGCAGGUCCUUGAUACAAGCACACACUAGAGCAUUAACCCAGGGCUGUGAGCACUUGAAGCAAGGCAAGCACUUUACCAACUGAGGUAUGCUUUUUUAACAGUGGUACAUUAAAAUCAAACCCAUCUUCGUUAGAAUCCUACCAGCUCUACCUAAUGCCAACCAUAUGACCGUUGGCACAUAACCCAUCUAAGCCUCAGUUUAUCCAUCUGUCAAAGGGUUAAAAAUCAUUCCUAAAAUACCAUGUCAAUGAUCAUCCCAACACGUUCAAAUAGUGGGUGGUGCGAUGGCUCAGUAGGCACUUGUUGCCAAACUUAACUAUCGGAUGAUAUGGUAGAAGGAGAGCGUUCUCCCCCAAGUUGUGGCCUGAACCCCACUUGUGCCUGUAUUCCUGUGUAGGUAUGUAUACAUCAAAUAAAACAUAAUAACAUUUUUAAAGUUCAAAUAGUUCAGUUAGUUGAGGGGGGUAAGACAUGUCAUACAGGCCUCUGGGCUGUCAGCAAUAUUCAAUUCUGACUCAUUUUCAUCUGCUCACUUGUCUGUUUCCCACCAGCCCCACGGUGGCCAGCCCCAAUCUGUUUUGUACAAUGCUGUGUCCUAGAGAAGUGCUAGAAAAUGUAUGUUUUUUUAAAAUAAUUCUCCUCAUCAGAGCAUUCCAGGAAUCCACCUCUUACCUACUCACAGUGCCCAAGCCCAGAGCCCCACCAUCCCAAACUGUGGCUAGAACAAAGACAGCCAGGCCACCUCCCUGCCUCUCAGAGAUACCUACCUAAUCGUUUUUUCUUAAAGUACCCAGUCUCAUCUCACAAUGAGGGGGGGACCCUCCAGUUAUCCACACUUGGCCAUUUUCCAAACGAGCAGGAUUUGGGUAAUGACUCCUGAUAAACCAGGCCUACAGGACGUCUGGACUCUUGACUGAGAAGUGGCCAAGAGACAGCCCAGCCUAUACCCCAAGCCUCACCCUCCUCACGGCCUGCCCAUCUCAAUGGUCUAACCCAGCUCUGCCUGUGCCACCGGGCCUGACUGUUGGCCAGUUCAUGCCCCUCUGUCCCUGAAGUAGGUUUCCCAGAUGUUACCAAGGAGACUUGUAUCCUGCCCAGGGUUGCCAAAGCAACCAGUUCAGUGAGAAGCAGGGCCUCAGCCUCUAGCCUCUGGGUGUGUAGGUCCAGGAAUGAGAUAAUUGCAGAUUAACAGGAAACAGCCCCAGCCAGCUGCACACCAGGGCGAAGACAACCCUGGCAUCCGCUAUGCAGUGCCCAGAUCCCGGUCCCCUCCCCCUCCCCUCCAUCUGUUCUCGCCUCUAUCCUGGACUCUGUAAAGCCAAUGGAUAGAUUGUGUGGACUCUCAUGUGUGGACUAUGAGAGUCCAUGCCGCCGGCGGUGGGUCAGUGGCCUUGUAAGAAAAUCAUGUGUACACACCAAGGAAGGGCCGGUUGAGAACCCAACAAGGAGGAGAUGUGUGUGAGACAAGAAAAGGGCUCUGACCAGGACCCACCCCAGUGUAACUGCCAGCCUUCAGAAGUGUGAGAGACACAUUGUUGCAGGCCAAGCCUUCAGCAGUGUUAUUCUGUUAUGUAUUGGUAUUGGCUGCCUGGCCAGAUCAAGGUACCAUUCCAGGAACAGGGGAAAGUCCCAGUAAGGAGAAAUGCCUCCAAGACCAGUCUUCUCCCUGGUGACCUUCAUGCCAGGGCAGAAAUUCUGAGAAGAAAAUACCAGCUUUACACUUCUUGCGAGAGUGAAUGAAUUCAUCUAGACUGAAGGUACCUAAGGCAUAGAGAUUCAUUUUAAAACUUUUUUAAUGUGUGCAUCUAAGUAUAUACUGUCUGUGAAGGCAUGGCGACUAUCUGAACACUUACAGCUAGAGUUACAGGCACUCAUGGGCUGCUGGGAACCAAAGUUAGGAGGGGCCAGAAGUUGGGAAUUCUGGACUGGCCAAGCCAUCUUAGAUGUCCUUUGACUAACCAAGGGAGGGAGCUCUGGAUAGGUAGGGCCUUGUACUUUCUUUCCUCCCUCUGGGGCUCUGCCUUGUCUCUUUUCUACAACUGAAGGGGGGGAAAAGCCAGGCCAAAACAGGAUAGUAGUUACAGUAGUGUGGUGGUUUGUCUAAGAAUGACCCCAUAGGCUCAUAUAUUUGAAUGCUUAGCUACCAUGGUGUGGUACUAUUGGAGAAGGGUUAGGAAGUGUGGCCUGGUUGGAGUAGGUGUGUGUCUGAAGGAAGAGUGUCACUGGAGGUGGGUUUUGAGGCUUUAAAAGCCCAUCCCACGACCAGUCUCAGUCUCUCUCAACCUCCCCCCAUCCCCCCCCCAGGACUGCAGAUCAGAAUGUAACUGUCAGCUACUGCUCCAGGGCCUGCCUGUCACCGUGCUCACCACAUGAUGAUCAUGGACUAAACCUCUGAAACUGUAAGCAAGCUUCCAAUUGCUUUCCUUUAUAAGACUUGUCUUGGUUAUAGAGUCCCUUCAUAGCAAUAAGAACACUCACCAAGACAAGUAGCCAACUCCCAAGUCCAAGCCCCUGGAUUUGAUUCCAGUUCCACUCAUUUCUUCCCCCACAGUCCCCAAAAGGCUCUCGCUGUGGAACGCUGGCUCGCCUCAAUCUCAGAGGUCUGCCAUCGACUGCCUCCUGAGUACUGGGAUUGAAAGCGUGCACCACUGUGCACUAGCAUCAUCAUCACCACCACCAUCAUCAUCAUCAUCAUCACAUUUAUUUAUCCAGAGGAGGGUGUGCUGUAGCAUGAUGUGAAGGUCAGAAGACAGCACACAGAGGUCGGUUCUCCCCUUCACAGUGUGGAUUCUGGUGACUGAAUUCAAGUCACCAGGCUUGACAACAAAGCCACCUGCUGAGCCGCCUCCCCUGCCCUUCUGUUCAUCUCUAAGAGAUCUAGGAGAGGUUAUUCAACUUCUCUCAGCCUUUUUUUUUUCUCCGUCUAUAAAAUGCCUUGGUAUAUUGUCAGGAGGAUAUUGGUGGAAAAAUCUACAUAGUUAGUACUGGGUACACAAUAACUACCCAAUAUAUGGCUGCUAUUGUAAAUGUUACUAUGGGAAUUAGCAAGCAGGACUCAAAGGUGACACUGACGUCUCUGGCAUCCAGGGUGACUGAGGAGGCCACCACGCACCCCAGCCUCCAUCUCCGUGCUGCAGCUGAGGGCGGAUGAGCUCACGUUGUCUGCAAACGUCAUGGCAACUAAGGAAGGAGCCCAGACAGAGCUGUGGAAAUGGCUGCGUUGGCUGAAGAAUGGAUGCUUUGAUUAUCUGAUUACGGCUGUGGCAGCCACCGAGGAUGGGGGAGGGCCUCGGGGAGGGCCAAUGAUAGCAGUGCCAUCAUCUCUCUCAAGACAAAGGCAGGGGUGAGAUGGAGGCUAAGCCCGGUGUGACAGUGAACACCUGUAAUCACAGGACUUGAGAGGCUGAGGCAGGAGAAUUGUCAUGAGUUACAGGGCAGCCUAGGCUUCAUAGUGAAUUUUAAUGCCAAUCUAGGCUACAGAGUGAGACCUUCUAGAAGACAUACAAGAGCAGGUGAGGUGGCUUAGCAGGUAAAGAUGCUUGCCAGCAAGCCUGACAACGUGAGUUGGAUCCCCAGGGCCCAUGUGUUAGAAUAAAACUGACAGAAUCUCUCUCUC